AGUGAACGCUGGCGGUAGGCCUAACACAUGCAAGUCGAACGGCAGCACAGUAAGAGCUUGCUCUUACGGGUGGCGAGUGGCGGACGAGUGAGGAAUACAUCGGAAUCUACUUUUUCGUGGGGGAUAACGUAGGGAAACUUACGCUAAUACCGCAUACGACCUACGGGUGAAAGCAGGGGAUCUUCGGACCUUGCGCGAUUGAAUGAGCCGAUGUCGGAUUAGCUAGUUGGCGGGGUAAAGGCCCACCAAGGCGACGAUCCGUAGCUGGUCUGAGAGGAUGAUCAGCCACACUGGAACUGAGACACGGUCCAGACUCCUACGGGAGGCAGCAGUAGGGAAUAUUGGACAAUGGGCGCAAGCCUGAUCCAGCCAUACCGCGUGGGUGAAGAAGGCCUUCGGGUUGUAAAGCCCUUUUGUUGGGAAAGAAAAGCAGCAGGUUAAUACCCCGCUGUUCUGACGGUACCCAAAGAAUAAGCACCGGCUAACUUCGUG
rnacentral:rRNA from 1 species